rnacentral:lncRNA from 1 species
UAGGCCUGCACCCUCCUGGGUCACAUGCUUCACUGUUUCCUGCUGGAAAAUUAUUGAGUGAACAAGGUAUAUUCACAGCCACAAAGAGAGUUCAUCAGGCUGUGAAGCAUGUUUCAUCAGGGGUUUUGCUGGUGUGAGAACAAUUUUCAGAGUCCUAGUAUGUGUGAGAUGGACAAGUGACUACAUCAGAGAGGCUGUGAAAAGGCAUGUAAAAGGGAGAAAUAAGAACUAAAUAUAUCAGACCCACACUUGUCAUUUUUUUUCUUUCUUUUGGCAAGGCAGGUGGGGGGAGAAAUGUGGAUGAGGACACAAUGCACUUUUUAAGUGCCGUGUUUCUUGAAAUACAUCAAAGAGUCUGAGAGAAAGCAGAAAACUCCAAAUAGACUUCAAGAGAGUCUUUUUUUUUUCUAUUAAAAGCAUCGGCAUCUAUAAAGGAAAUAGAAGAACUGCAUUAGACCUAAAUGAUCUCAGAGAAGUGUCAGAAGAACUGACAGCCACCAUAUGUGAGUUGCCCUAUGGAGAAUGCCACAUGGCGAGAAACUGAAGGGGACCUCUGAUCCAUAGCCCUUAAGGAACUGAGAACUUCGGUCCAACAGUCCACAAAAAGUUGAAAUCCUGUCAACAACCAAGCUCAGAGGCAGAAGAAGGAACUUGCCUUGUCUCAGAUGAGAUUUUGGACUGUGGACUUUUGGAUUAAUGCUGAAAUGAGUUAAGACUUUGGGGAAUUGUUGAGAAGGCAUGAUUGGUUUUGAAAUAUGAGGACAUGAGAUUUGGAGGGGCCAGAAGAGGAAUGAUAUGGUUUGGUUGUGUCCCCACCCAAAUUUCAACUUGAAUUGUAGCUCCCAGAAUUCCCAUGUGUUGUGGAAGUGACCCAGGGAGAGGUAAUUGAAUCAUGGGGGCUGGUCUUUCCUGUGCUAUUCUUGUGAUAAUGAGUAAGUCUCAUGAUAUCUGACGGAUUUAUCAGGGGUUUCCGCUUUUGCUUCUUCCUCAUUCUCUCUUGCUGCCGCCAUGUAAGAAGUGCCUUUUGCCUUCUGCCAUGAUUGACCUUCUCCAGCCAUGUGGAACUGUAAACCUCUUUCUAUUGUAAAUUGCCCUGUCUCAGGUAUGUCCUUAUCAGCAGUGUGAAAAUAGACUAAUACAAUUGCUCGUACAGUUUCAUGUAAAGAUUUAGUAUACUGUAUAAUUGCUUUGGUCAUUUAAAUUUGCAGCCUAAUAGGUUCAAGGACCAAAAAUAAUAUUCUUAAAUGUAUAGAUUAACUGGCCACUAACUCAUAUAACUAUAUGUAAUAGAAUUAUUUCCUUGAUUUACUGUUUAUUAGUUUUGCCUACAAUAUAAAAAAUUACAAUCUUUUUAUGUAUAAUCUGUCUGGAUAACAAAGAUUUGGUAUAUUCUUUUUUUAACAGUUAUGCCCUAAAUUAUUUAGAAAAACAAGGUUUUCUUACUUAUAAAAGAGCUAACAUUUUUACAAUCAUGCUCUCUAAAUGUUUUAUAGCCAUUUAGAUUAAAUAGGAAACUGGGUAUUCUUUCUUGGGCACA